GCCUGGCUGGCUCAGUUGGUGGAGCAUGCGACUCUUGAUCUCAGGGUCAUGAGUUCAAGUCCUGUGUUGGGUG
rnacentral:tRNA from 1 species